rnacentral:lncRNA from 1 species
AUAAAUUUUGCAUAAUGAUCAAGCUCCUUGUUUCGAGUGAUGAUCCCUUUUAAAUGAAAACAUUUGAACCCCUCUCUUCAUUCAUAUUAGACCAUUGCUUACCUAGCCCAAUGAUUGAGAUCAAAUGCUCAUUUGUGAGAAUUCACUUUGUGUGUGUAUGUGUGAAUCAAUGUGAGAGCUGGUUGAAGGGACUUGCUAGUUGAUGAGUAUUGCGACUUGUGUAAAGGCAUAAGAGUAAGGAUAGCCUAGAGAAGCUAGAGUAUAAUAAUAGAGUUGCUCAUGCUAUUUGCUAUGUUUCUUUAGG